rnacentral:misc_RNA from 1 species
AUAUAGAAUUUUUCCACCCGACAACCUGCUGUACGAUACGGUCCUUCGACGGAGCCGCAUCUACACCGCCCGCCUAGUUCCUGGAUCAGCCAGCAUCCCGCGGGCCAUCAUUCGCGCGCUUAUUCGUGGCGGAUGUGCAACGACGGUGGUGCAGUCAAGAUGGCGUUCGCCGAGCGGAGUACGCUGUCGGGCAGGAACGCGUGAGGGUAAGAGAGAAAAAAAAAUGCCACGGGGCGCCGUCGACGCUUCGCGCGGGGUGCUCGCGUGAGGAUCGGGCCCCUCGGGAGUUCGGGAGCAGCGCGCGGUAAUCGCAGUGGUACUCGGCAUUAACCUAAGCGUGGUUGUGCGCGGGGAACGACGGCGAACACGGCGUGGUGAGGUGAGGUGCGAGACGGCGCGACGCGGACGGGCUCCUCGCCUCCUCCUCCCUCUCCUGCCUGGGGAACUGGCAUGGAAGCGCGACCCGGUGCUGCGACCGAGCUCGUUGCACGCGGGGGAACGACGGCGCCGUGACGUCGCUCUACGUCGGCUACGAGAGCGCUCGACGAGCGAGGAUCGGACGCGCGAGCCAGAGCCGGCCAUGGCGUCUGUCGCGCGCGCGUGAUCGCCGAUCAAGCGGUGGAUCGACAAGGAAGGUGAAGCAAGAGAGAGAGUGAGCGGAAACGCCGGGACGCGUCUACGACGAGGCGGUGAUAGACGGAAGGACGGUCGAGUGGGGACUCAUCGUGUAAACACGUAAACAAACAUUCUGGCCUAUUCCCUUAUCUUCUGUUUUUCCCCUCGCGAUUACAUUUGACAGCUACUCACCGUCAUCGUCACCGUGGCCGUUAUCCUGGACCUGUGGAUUAUGCGUGCCCUAUACGCGAACGGGAUGUUUAGAUUAUAUGAUUCACGUGUGCGAUAUCGUUCCUAGACUGAGUCUUUUGUUUGAGGAACAGUGCGGUCAGUCAGUUUCUAAGGAAGCUGUGAGAGGAUACUCUGUCGAGUAAAAAAUUGUGUGUAUGUCUUUGCAUACUAUGUGAUUCUUGAAACAUUGAUUCUGAAACAAAGAUUCUGUGAGAUUUACGCUUGGCAAAUCUCUCAAUGUUCUCUCUUGGUGUUCCAUAGAUUUAUCGGAUGCUAUUGGCAUGUAGAAUUUUUUCUCAUAUGUGAGUGAAUGUUACGAGUUAGCUAAAUACUUUGAGAGAUUGAAAUAUUCUGAGAGAUUACAAAGUUUUUUUCUGUGAGAUAAAUUUAAUAUCUAAUGCUGACCAGCAUUUUCCAAAAGAUCCUAAAAAGUCACAUUUAUGAAAGAAGAAAUGUGUUAAAUGACAUGUAAAGAGAGUGUUAAACUCAAUAGAUAUUAGUAUCAUGUUUAAAUGUGUGUGAGAUAUUCCAUGAUAUGAUAUGUAUCAAUAAGAUAUACAUUGUGACUUAAUGGACAGUGCACACCAUGUCUAAUAGUCUGGACAGUUUUUUGACACGCAUCGGGGACGUCACAAUCGAACGUGUGACUCCUCGCGGAGGCUCUAAGCCCAUUGAAACGAAUAUGAUGACGAAUGAGACUACAACUGGUGCAAACAUGAAUGCGGAACCGCAGACGGCGAAUGAUGAAAGUUCGGAUGAGUCGAGUGGUGAAACAACAGACGGAGAGCAGGAAAAGAAACUCGACGCUUUACAAUCCGAGGAAAUAGAAGAGAUACGCUCCGAAGGUUCGGGGGAUGAUAUGGAUCUGGACGAAACGAUUGACUCGCAGAUCGGUGUUAGAAUAGAUUCAGACAGGCAGCAACAUCAUCCAUCUCAAGAAGAGGAUGAUGAAGAACAAGUUAAUAUCUUGGAUACUUUGCCAUUGGAAGGAGCGCCCAUAGAAGGCCAGGAAGUAUCCGAGGCUGAUUUACUAGGAAAACCGAUAUCGAAAGAUUCGGAGGAUGAGGAGAGCAUGGAUAAUGAAAAAGCGGAUGGACAGUCCGCGGGGGAGGAAGGCGCUGAUAGUAACAAGAGACAUGCCGAUUCCGAUCAUUCCGACAGCGCGAAGAAAAAAGCGAAAAAGGAGGAUAGUACAGAGGGCAACUCAUCAGAAUGCGAGUUAAAGUCGGAAAAGAAAUUAGCCAACAUGCGAAGAAACAUCCGGGAAGUGAUGGACGAGGCGCAACUUGACGAGGCUACGCUUUCCGCUCAAAGACAGGAAAUGGAACGUCUCAGGCGAGUGCAGGAACAACAGAGAAUCAUCCGCGAGGUGCAGCGUCAAAUAGCGAUCAACCGGGCGCAAAGCAAUAAAACGCAGACACGCGUUAUCAGCCUUUUACAAGCAAAGCAAAAUCAGGCUGGCACCACUAUGAUCUCGCAAUCGUCUUCUCCGUCGUCGUCAUCGUCAACUACGUCGUCCACCCAGGUUCGUUUGCCGAACACCGUGCUUUUGAAAGUGAAUUCUGGCUCUGGUACCGGUGUUCAAACCACUCAGGCAGCCGGGAUGCAAGCGGGACAGAUUCAAAGGAGAUCGGUGGACAGUGGGAUGCGUUGGCAGAAAGGCAGAGGCGGCUACCAAGGAGCACAAACAUCCAUCUCGCGGGUUCCAAAUCGCUCAGGUGCGCCCAAUAUGCUGCAUCAAAGAAUUCGUAUGAUGACACCAUCUGUGAGUAUAUCGCCAGUGGUGCCUAAGAAAGAACCGAUGGACCGUGUGGAGUAUUAUUCCGACUCCGAGAUGUCUGAUGUAGAAGCUGAGGAGAUGAUACGCGAAAAGCAAAUACAUGCGAUGCGAAAAACGCCUGGCGUACCCAAGUAUCAAAGGCCGCCCAAAGGUAAAGAUGUAGUAACGAUAUCCAGUUCGAGUGAGAGUUCGGACGAUGAUUGUAUAGUCCUGAGUGAUCCCAGCGGUGAAGAGGAAACUGACAACGAGGACGAUCCAUCUAAUUCCGGCAUGCACACCAAUGAUCGGUACAAUGUUCCGGAUGAGCAUGGACGGGUAUUAAUAAAUGUUGGCCAUCCUGAGACCGAACCGGACGUAUUCUUGGCACCACAAGUGGCCCGCAUCAUCAAGCCGCAUCAGAUCGGCGGUAUACGCUUUCUUUUUGACAACAUUAUCGAGACUAUUGAGAGGUACAAAACUAGUAGCGGUUUUGGCUGUAUCCUCGCCCAUAGUAUGGGUUUGGGCAAAACCCUCCAGAUCGCUAGUUUUUGUGACAUUUUUUUUCGAUGCACCACUGCCAAGACUGUUCUCUGCAUCAUGCCUAUAAAUACGCUCCAGAAUUGGCUGGCGGAAUUUAACAUGUGGUUGCCGUAUGAAGAUCCUGCCAUUACUGCCGAGAAAGAAUCUAAGGCUACAAAUGUCAAGAUGGAACCCGGAAUGGAUAUGAAGCACGAGAUGAAAGAAGAAAGUUGCGGUAAUCAAAGCGAUAUGUCGAAUAUGUCUCGGCCUAUCAGCACAGAAUCUGCGCAUCGUUUCGGUCAAGACACCGUUGCUGCAUCACAACAACCGAUGAAUAUUAUGCCGGAGAAUCCUUAUGUGAAUCCUCAUCAUGGUUAUGAACCGCGUAACAUAAUGUCAGGAGGUUAUAUGCAGGAUCCUAUGAUGAAUAAGAAUAUGAGUGAGCCGCGUGCGCCGCAUAUGCCACCGAAUUAUCAUCAGGGCGAGGUACCGCAGAAUCCGUUGUACAACGCGAAUCCGAAUCCGCUUCCUAAUUUCUCUGAUCCAAUGAAGUCUGAUCCAGGAAUGAAUUGCCAUAGCAUGCCGCCCGGACAGAAUAUAACGGGACCAAAAUUCGGCAUGGAGCAUCAAGCUAUUGGUGUUAUGUAUCCUGGUAUGGAGAAUCGAUCGCAGGGUAAUUCUAUGUAUCCUGAUAUGGAGAAUCGAAAUGUGGCGGCGAUGUAUCCGGGCAUGGGUGAUCAUCAUUCUACCUCGAUGUAUCCAAACUACAACGCUUCUAGCACUUUUGCGAGUUACGGCAGUCAGACUAAUCAACAUGAAUUGGAACAAGAAUCGAAGAGAGAAAACAUGCUGUCAGGAGGAAUGCAGCCGUCUCAGAAUGCGGAGGUGAAUGUGAAGAAGGAACCAGAAGAAACGAUUAAGAAAGAAGAGAGUACAUCGACAACGAAGGAAGAGUUGACGGAGGAAAAGAAGGAAACAAUUGAGAAAGUAAAGACGCCAUACAGUGUAAACACGCCCAUUGGCAUGGAAGUACGUCCUAGACACUUUGGCUUGCAUAUUCUAAAUGAUUCGCAUAAAACCAUGACAGCGAGAGCGAAGGUGAUCCAAGAAUGGCAGUCGACUGGUGGCGUUCUGCUGAUAGGCUACGAAUUGUACAGACAAUUAUCUUUGAAGAAGCCCAAUAAGGCGAAACGAAAACGCGGUCAACCUUUCAAGGAUACCGUAGACGUAGAAGAAGAAGAUAAGAACAAAGGCCUGUUGGACGAAAUGCACACAGCUCUUGUGAAUCCUGGACCGGAUUUAGUAAUCUGCGAUGAAGGUCAUCGCAUUAAGAACUCACACGCUAGCAUCAGUAUGGCAUUGAAGCAGAUGCGCACGAAACGUAGGAUUGUCCUGACCGGUUAUCCGUUGCAGAAUAAUCUUUUAGAAUAUUGGUGUAUGGUAGAUUUUGUAAGACCAAAUUAUCUGGGCACUAAGAGCGAAUUUUGUAAUAUGUUUGAGAGACCGAUACAGAAUGGCCAAUGUAUCGAUUCCACACCGCAGGAUAUACGCUUGAUGCGAUAUCGCGCGCAUGUUUUGCAUGCUUUAUUGGAAGGUUUUGUACAGAGAAGAUCUCACUCCGUAUUGCAGAUGUCAUUACCGCGCAAGGAAGAAUAUAUCCUGCUUAUUAGAAUGACGCCUCAUCAGCGUAAAUUAUAUGAUACAUUCAUGAAUCAAGUAGUGAAAACGCGCGCGGUGCCGAAUCCAUUAAAAGCUUUUGCCGUGUGUUGCAAGAUCUGGAAUCAUCCAGAUAUUCUAUAUCAUUUUCUUCGCAAACGUCAGGCGAACGAGGAGGAUGAUUUGGAUUUGGAAGAGACGAUUGGAGAGAAAGCUACGGCAGGUGGCAAGAAAUCUAAAGCGCGUCAGUCAAAAGGCGAAUCGAAGAAAUCCAAGAAAGGUACGACGAUAAAGAACAAACCCGCGGCUAGCGUACAACCGAACGCUUCUUCAUCAUCCAGCAAUGAUAAUGCAGAAACUGAAGCUGCACAUAGUACACCGAAGCAAAAUAAUUAUACUAAUUAUCCCAUGCCGGUUUCCAAUUCGGGAUACUCCAACUCUAUGCAGCAGGGAUCUUAUCCUCCUCAUAAUUAUCAGAACUACCGUCCGAACGAUCAAAGCACAUACUAUAGGAAUGAUAAUAACAAUCACGGAGAAUAUAAUCAUGGAGAGUUUUAUAAUAAUCAAGGACAACAGAGAUAUGGUAAUCAACCUUUUCAAUCAUAUACUCAAACAUCGGGCUACAAUACAUCACAGGGAUACGCCAAUCAAUCACAAAAUUACAUGCAAUCGAAUGAGCAACCGACGAAUCAGAGGUACGGUGGUACAGCGGCUGGAUCUGACUUCAGAUCGGAUCAAAAUCAAGGAAACAAUUACGAGGCACCGGGAAUGUUUUCACGACAAAGUUAUCCUUAUCAGGAUCAGCAACGUAAUUAUACACCGAAUUUGAAUCAAGGGCCUAACAAUUAUUCCCAAGUCCCCAAUCAGCCAUCUUUUCAGACUCAAAUGCCGAAUCAAUCUACGAAUAUGCCGAUAACAGAUUACUCAUCAUACACCACGAAUCAAAAUCAAAAUUACACGCCGACACCGGCUCAGACGAAUCCGAUAUAUCCACGAAAUGAUGCGCAACCACUACAGAACACAACAAUGGGUUAUUCUGUACCACAAGGUCAACCUCCAACUCAAAAUCAAACUCAGACUGGCUAUCUGCUGCCGUCGCAGCAAGGUCAAAAUACUCCACCCGGUCAAAAUCGAGGCUUCUCGCCGAACCAACAGAAUCAACAGAAUCUAAGCUUGCAGACUCAAUCUCAUUCAUACACCGGCCAGCAGCCUCAAGGUAUGCCCCUUCAAGGUCAAUCACAUGCCUAUCCUACGCAGGUAAAUCCAACUCCGCCACAAACUCCGCAGCAUGCGUUCAAUCAGGCAACAACAACUCCGAUGCCACAGGCUUCAUCUCACGGUUAUAUACAGCCGAAUCAACCGAAUCAAGGACCUGUAACGCAGAGUUCAAUGCGUGGCUAUACCCCAGCACCACAGGGUCAAAUAAACGUGCCGCAAAAUCAGUCCAAUUAUCCGGCUAAUCAACCCGCGUCAAAUGUCAACACUCAGAAUCAGACGCAUAGAUAUCCUCCGGAUCAGCAAGGUUCAGCAUCGAAUCCACAGAACGCAGUCCACGCAGGGUACGGACAUCAUAUGGUGUCUCAAGCAGCAGCUUCUAAUCAGACGACGUCAUAUCCUCAGCAGAAUCAGCAGAGUCAGCAGAGUCCAGUGCCACCUAAUCAGACUCACUCUGGGUAUUCGUCAAAUCAUCCUGGUCCGAUAUCGCAGAUUCCUGCUGCUCAUCGAUACGGCACUGCACAGCAGACGCAAAUGGCUCAGAAUCAGACUAUGACCCAAUAUCCACCGAAUCAACAACAACAAUCCAAUCCCUCAAUAGGUCCGAAUGAUCAACUUUACUCCAGAUCGGACGUGACAGCGGUGUCGCAGCAAACGCAAGGUUACGCUCCAACUGCGAAUGAGUUUUCAAAUGAUCGCUCGAGUGCAAGUACUGCUAGCAAUUCCGGCAAUAACUAUACUGCCAAUCAACCGCAGACACAGAACUCCGUUAUGUCAAGUUAUUCAUCGGAUGGCUCAAACUCGGCGACGUCGCUCGGACAGAUAAAGAAUGCGGAUGAUCCCUAUUGGCAACGUAAUUAUCCGCAAACGUUCCGAUCGGAUCAGCAGUGCAACGAUUCGUAUUAUAGAGAUCAGAUGAACCCGGGUGUGAAUCGUUAUCAGAACAAUUACUUUCCACCGCAAAAUUAUCCGAAUCAAUCGUACGAUUACACUAAUCACAAUUCGGACAUGAACUCACGGUCUGAUGAAUCCGCGAAAACUUCUCAGCAGUCCAGUACUCAUCCUCCACCAUGCGAUAAAAACAAUAAAGAUAUGACAUCUAGUAUUGGCGUACAAAGUCAACCGAUGCAUCCGAGUAAUUUUACUGGUACGUUGAAUUAUACCGCAGAAUCGAAUCGUCAGAGUUCGGCAACUCCUGCACCCAGACAAUCAGGACAGGGAAUUAAUUCAACGAACAGUCCUCGAUUGAAUCAAAGCGAAUUAUUAAAGGAGGAAGAGAGAGAAAAAGAAGAUCAAUUGGAAAAGGAUAAAGAAGAUAAAUCUGAUGAUGAGAUUCUCACGAAAGACGAGGAAAAAGAUUGCAAGAGUUCUCCUAUUGGGAAAGAAGAUCCCGGAAUUCCAUAUGACUGGGCGACAGAAUUAAUGAAGAACUAUAUACCCGGGUUGAUAGACGCGUCCGGGAAAAUGGUGAUCUUCCUUUGCAUCCUUGAGGAAGCUAUCAAACUGGGAGAUCGUGUGCUUGCAUUCUCGCAGUCAUUGUUUACGUUGAAUCUCAUAGAAGACUUUUUAGCACGAAAUAGCGUAAAACAUCCAGACGGCCAGACUGACGCUUGGAUUAAGAACGUGAAUUAUUAUAGAUUAGAUGGAAGCACCAGUGCUUUAGAGCGUGAAAAACUCAUCAACGAAUUUAACAAUAAUCCAAAGAUUCAUCUAUUUCUAGUUUCGACACGGGCUGGUUCAUUAGGUAUUAAUCUCGUCGGUGCGAAUCGCGCGAUCGUAUUCGAUGCUUCUUGGAACCCGUGCCACGAUACGCAAGCAGUGUGUAGAGUUUACAGAUACGGUCAGCAAAAGCCGUGUUUCGUUUAUCGAUUAGUUACUGAUAAUUGUUUGGAAAGGAAGAUCUACGAUCGACAGAUUAGCAAGCAAGGAAUGGCGGAUCGGGUAGUCGAUCAGUGCAAUCCUGAUGCGCAUCUCUCGCUAAAAGAGGCGACGACAUUGUCAUGGGAUUGGGAAGAGGAUAGCCAAGUACAAGAUUUCUCGCAAACUAAGGAUAGUUACACGGACGAAGUUAUGCAUUGCGUUCUAGAACGCCAUUCCUCAUUAUUAACCAAGCAACCAUUUCAUCACGAGAGUUUGCUCGUUGAUCGAAAAGAUAAAAAACUUAGCCAGGCUGAGAAGCGAUUGGCUCGUCGCGGCUAUGAGCUUGAGAAGAUGGCAGCUAAUUGUUCGAGACCGAGUUAUAACUAUGUUCCAGGAAAUACAGCCACACGAGCAGGUGGAUUACAAAUCAGAGCGAUUCGCGGCGGUGAUGGAGGAGGCACUACACCGAAACCCGUUGCUUCUGUGAGACCGAUGCAACAGCGAGGCGCUGAAGGAUUAGGUCCACGGAAUGUAACUGGUAGCAGAUGGAUUCCAGCAGAGGUGUGGCAAAGACAAGGAAUGAGCGCGCAAGAGAUGACACUACCUUUGGAUGUAGUUAUUCCGACUAAUUCUCCAGACAAAGGAAGUAUUGUUUUAAAAGCGGGGCAACGAGUAAUGGUGUUGAAGAGUCCGAAAGGCAUUUACAUGCAGCUUGAAUCUGGCAAAAUUAUAGCAAUUCGCACUGCGCUUAAAUUGAAUCAGCAAAAGCGAGAGGAGGAGCCAAAGAAAGGUGUUUCCUCGAUGAUACAGAGAAAUUCUAAACCUGAAGUUGGCUUCCCUUUACGAAAUAACUCUGCCAUUUCUAUAAUACCCAAAUCAUCUUCGAGUAACCAGACUGGUAAUCGACUGCCCAAUAAGCCAUCACCGGCUUCGGGUUAUAAGCCAUUCGGCGAUAAAGAAAUUUCUAAGAGACCGAAACCAGUCGCUACAGCGGCUGCCAAACCUUAUCUGAGUCAAGUAAACUUGACUAACCAGGUUUCUCUGUCGAGGUUACCGAAAGUAAAACAAGAACCGGUGGAUCAUUCUACGCUCGGAGACAAUUCUAAUUCAUCCGAUGGUCAACUAAGAACUGAGCAACGAGUUGAGGAAGUUAGAUUGGAAGAUGUAGUGGCUGAAGUGAGCUCGAACACCGAAUACAGUCCAUCUAAUCAUACUCGUACCACCAAUUCGGAUACAGACACGUCUUUGCCAAAAUCUUCCGAAGAAGGCACUCAAGUUUAUACACCCGAUACUGUUUCCUUAGUGCAAAGCGUGCAAACACAACACGACCAACCUGAAUCGGAACUGCCGUCGACUGUCGACAAGCAAUGUUCACCACCAGAGAAGGAGCCUCCCAAGCCAGACACAUUAACGAAUUAUGGUCGGUCUUUUCACAGCCAGACAGAAAAGCGAGACACUUCCAAUGACGAUAUUAUCAUCGAGGAAUCGCCGCAGGUGACGCCACAGGUCGCGACACAAACGCACGUGGGCACUCCUGGAUCGAUUCCAUCAUCUCUGUUAAUACCGUCACCAGUGCCGUCAGCCGGGCCGGUACCAUCAACUAUGUCGGUGUUGCCGAAUAUUCCAGUAACAUCAAGCAUGUCAAUACCGUCAAGUAUGCCUUCAAGUGUACCGUCAAGUAUGUCAUCGAACGUGCCAUCGAGCAUAUCAUCGAGCAUGUCGUCAACUAUGCCAUCAAGCAUGUCAAUAGCAUCGAGCAUGUCGAUGUCGUCGGUACCAUCGAUGCCGCCGGUGCCGGCGAUACCGUCGGUGCCAUCGAUGCCGUCAGUGUCAUCAAUGCCAUCGAUGUCGUCGAUGCCGCCUGUACUAUCUGUACCUGUAAGAGCUCCGGAAACACAUAAAAACAAUGUUGAAUCACCCGUCGUCGCAUCAUCGACUGUCUCAGUAUGCACCAACACUAAUAUUACUUCUCCGAAGAGCGCCGAGACGAUUCCGAAUAUGCGAGAUAAUAUGAUUCAGGGAGACCCAACAACGCCGAUACCCCAAGGAUAUCCUUACGCCCAAUAUCCGAGAUACUACGAUUACAGUGAUCCACGAUCUCGGUCGCUAUCUAAUCCUUACGGGACUUACUUUCCCAGCGUUCCACCACAUACGGCGAAUCCCAGCAGCAGACUGCCAAUAGACACGACGAAGCCUCAGCCGGAUCUAGGAAAGCCUACGGACGAGAGGAACGUAAUGAACGUGCCUACCGCUUAUUCUUCGCAAGUAUCAAGCAUUACUGCCAAACCGCUAACGAGUAACUCCGCAACGGAGUCUAAGGGUACGGAUACCGCAAUAGCCGUGACCACCACGGUGGCCUCCUUGAGUAGAGAUGAGACUGCGCAUAUACCUACCGCGUUUAGUCAUCCAACUAGCACGCGAUAUCCGGGUCCGUAUCCACCGGGUCCGUACGAUCCAUACUCGCAGCAUUAUCCACCGGCGCCUGGUUCAUCCGCAGCGUAUCCUCCAGGUGGUGCACCCGGUUAUCCAGCAUACGGUGGACCGAGCUACAACACGGAUUACGCUCGCAUGUAUUCAGCGUUUCAUGGUCCGCCACCUUCGACGGAUCCUUACAUGCACAGAGGAUACGCUCCUCCUUCCUCACAUCCUCCUAAUUAUUAUUCGCCGUUCCCGCAUCCUCCGCCGCCCUAUCCUAACUAUUCUUUUCUGCCGUAUCCGAAUCCGAAUAUGUCGAGUGAGCCUCAGCCACCCGCUCAAUAAAGAAGCAACAUGUCUAAGGGUAAUCCUAGGUUAAGGAUAAUGAAGAGCGAGGAAAUUAUCGCAAAGCCGCGGCUCUGAAGCUUAAUAGACUGAAGCUGUAAAACGCAUCGAUGUGACUUUUAACUUGUUACUACCUGAGAUUCUUAAUUUUUAAGAGUGAGAUAUAUGAGAAAUAUACUUCCAUGACAAAUCUUUGACGAAAAUUAAUCGAUUGAUCCCCCUCGAAUGGUACGCAAGAAUAAUGGAUUUGCAAGUAAGGAUGAAUUACUUGAAAUUAUACUAUAAAAUGCAGGUGUUCGUUAAAAUAUUCACGUGCAUGAAAUAUAUUAGAAUGUACUUGUCCAUCGAAACAUUUUUUUCUAUUCUAUCACAUUAUAUAUUUUAUAUAUUAGCGAUACAUUUGACUAUUAUGUAAUUCUUGGCGAUUCAUUGAUUCUAU